UACGAAGGGGGCUAGCGUUGUUCGGAAUCACUGGGCGUAAAGCGCACGUAGGCGGAUUGUUAAGUCAGGGGUGAAAGCCUGGAGCUCAACUCCAGAACUGCCCUUGAUACUGGCAAUCUCGAGUCCGGAAGAGGUAAGUGGAACUCCGAGUGUAGAGGUGAAAUUCGUAGAUAUUCGGAAGAACACCAGUGGCGAAGGCGGCUUACUGGUCCGGUACUGACGCUGAGGUGCGAAAGCGUGGGGAGCAAACAGG
rnacentral:rRNA from 1 species